rnacentral:lncRNA from 1 species
GUUCUUCUCAAAUGCCAUAAAUGUGCCGUCCAUGUGAGGGAAUGUGCCUCUUCGUGGAGAUUAAAAAGCUAUGACUCCUCACAUUUAUUUGGCAGCCCAUUUCUCUUCCCCAAGUUGGCCUUUGAGCUCCCCAAGCAUCCAUAAGAGCUUUCACACAAGUUAGACGAAUUUAGGCCAAUCUAAACAAUUCUAUUCAGCCAUUUCAGCUCAACCAUCACCUCAUUAAUUCAAGGCUAUUAGAAGACAUCAAAUGGCUGUCCAUUGACGUCUCCAAAGCUGGGAAUCUUCAAGAAAGCUUCAAGGGACGUUCUAGGAAGCUACAUGAAAUUUUCAAUUCAUUUGCUUUGAAAAUAAGCUGACUUUUUAGCUGCUCAAGUGUCCAUUCGGCUAGCCUAGGAAUUUUGCUAUAAAUGUUUGCUUUGUAAUUGUUUUGGGGCUAGACAAUAUACUUUUAAACUUUAUAUGAAAUAUGAUUACUUUGUGAGUUUGUUUUCAACUCUCAUUGUUCUCCAAAGACUCGUCUGACUUAUCAAGUAACCCUUGUGGCGUCAACCCGUCUUUCUAUCUGAACUUAUCACUUUAAUCCCGAAAGUGUGGCGUUCGAUUCGUACUGACGUUCCUAUCAUCAUUGAUAGCGGGUCGAAGUUUCUAUCCACUUAACAAACCUUCCAUCAACACCCUACCAACCUAAGCAUUCUCCUAAGUUACGGGUUAAGACACUCCUAUUGUGUUAGUUCGGCUUUGAAUACUUAGCCCAAACUUCAUCCAUUGAUUUAUGUUUCAUUUCCUAAACCAGCAAAACUCUUUUGAGCCUAAAUAAUUCCUUUUCUUCUAGCCUAUUUUGUAAAGCUUUCAAAUUACUCCAAUUCACGAUCGGGCACAUCUACGACUCGACUCUCAUCACCGAGGUCGGGGCGCAUCACAAGGUUUCUACAAAUUCAUGCAUGUGUCGAAUUCAUGUAUGGACAUUAAAGGCUGGUCCAUGAAUGGAUCAAAUGCAUGGGAUGAUAGAAUGCAUGAAUGGCUUAAGUGCAUGUAUGGUGACUGUCUCCUAACUUUCCAAG